AGCGAACGCUGGCGGCAGGCUUAACACAUGCAAGUCGAGCGCCCCGCAAGGGGAGCGGCGGACAGGUGAGUAACGCGUGGGAACGUACCCCUUUCUACGGAAUAGCCUCGGGAAACUGGGAGUAAUACCGUAUAAGCCCUACGGGGGAAAGAUUUAUCGGGAAGGGAUCGGCCCGCGUUGGAUUAGGUAGUUGGUGGGGUAAUGGCCUACCAAGCCGACGAUCCAUAGCUGGUUUGAGAGGAUGAUCAGCCACACUGGGACUGAGACACGGCCCAGACUCCUACGGGAGGCAGCAGUGGGGAAUCUUAGACAAUGGGCGCAAGCCUGAUCUAGCCAUGCCGCGUGAGCGAUGAAGGCCUUAGGGUUGUAAAGCUCUUUCAGUGGGGAAGAUAAUGACUGUACCCACAGAAGAAGCCCCGGCUAACUCCGUG
rnacentral:rRNA from 1 species